GGGGAUAACUACUGGAAACGGUAGCUAAUACCGCAUAACGUCGCAAGACCAAAGAGGGGGACCUUCAGGCCUCUUGCCAUCGGAUGUGCCCAGAUGGGAUUAGCUUGUUGGUGGGGUAACGGCUCACCAAGGCGACGAUCCCUAGCUGGUCUGAGAGGAUGACCAGCCACACUGGAACUGAGACACGGUCCAGACUCCUACGGGAGGCAGCAGUGGGGAAUAUUGCACAAUGGGCGCAAGCCUGAUGCAGCCAUGCCGCGUGUAUGAAGAAGGCCUUCGGGUUGUAAAGUACUUUCAGCGGGGAGGAAGGGAGUAAAGUUAAUACCUUUGCUCAUUGACGUUACCCGCAGAAGAAGCACCGGCUAACUCCGUGCCAGCAGCCGCGGUAAUACGGAGGGUGCAAGCGUUAAUCGGAAUUACUGGGCGUAAAGCGCACGCAGGCGGUUUGUUAAGUCAGAUGUGAAAUCCCCGGGCUCAACCUGGGAACUGCAUCUGAUACUGGCAAACUUGAGUCUCGUAGAGGGGGGUAGAAUUCCAGGUGUAGCGGUGAAAUGCGUAGAGAUCUGGAGGAAUACCGGUGGCGAAGGCGGCCCCCUGGACGAAGACUGACGCUCAGGUGCGAAAGCGUGGGGAGCAAACAGGAUUAGAUACCCU
rnacentral:rRNA from 1 species